rnacentral:rRNA from 1 species
CACUAUGGCCAUACCAGCCUGAACGCACCCGAGCUCGUGAAGCUAAGCAGGGUCGGGUCUGGUUAGUACUUGGAUGGGUGGGAUUCUCUUAGGAUUAACCAUAGAGUUUUGGGGU